rnacentral:hammerhead_ribozyme from 1 species
GUACCGCUGAAGAGUCCCAAACUAAGACGAAACAGCUGUCUAGUAC